UGACUGUGCAAAGGUAGCAUAAUCAGUUGGCUUAUAAUUGAAGUCUAGUAUGAAUGGGAACACGGGAAUAUUCUGUCUUUAAUAUAUAAAAGAAAUUACUAAUUAAGUGAAAAUUCUUAAAAGUAAGAAAAUAGACGAGAAGACCCUAGAAAUUUUUUUAAUUUGAUUUUGUUGGGGCGACAGGGUAACAAAAAACUUACCUAAAGUAAUAGGAAAUUUUUUAGUGGUGUAAUUAAAUUACUCUAGGGAUAACAGCAUAAUAUUUUAAAGGUUGUGACCUCGAUGUUGGACUAGGAAAUACACUACUUAAAAGGUAGUGUUUAUGGUUCUGUUCGAACUUUUACUCCUACAU
rnacentral:rRNA from 1 species